rnacentral:ncRNA from 15 species
AGGAGCUAAUCGUGUAGAAAACUUUGAAACUUUCCUUUUGUAUAUUACAUUAAUCCAUAGAAGAAAAUCUCUUUUAAUGAGGAGUGAUGUAGUUACAAACUCUCCAGAGCCAUAAUUAGAGCAAACUAAUUGAAGUUGUGUUUUGACACACUUUCCAAAUUCACGGGUGCUGGAUGACAUAUUCACAACACUGUUGCUGCACAACCAUGGCGACGGCAAAAUCAUUAGGCUAAUAACACUUAUUUGCAUUCUUAGCAUGCCAGCAGCUCUCCUGUUAAAUACUGUUUCAACCACUGCUCGUUUACUGUAAGUUUCCACUGAAAGAUAUUAACAGUAAUUAUUACUACUUUUGUGGAAUUUUAAUGCAAAAAA